GAUGAACGCUGGCGGCGUGCCUAAUACAUGCAAGUCGAGCGAACAGACGAGGAGCUUGCCCCACUGCCGGUAGCGGCGGACGGGAGAGUAACACGUGGAUCACCUACCUAUAAGUCUGGGAUAACUUCGGGAAACCGGAGCUAAUACCGGAUAAUAUAUCCUACCGCAAGAUUCACUAGUGCAAGACGGUUUUCCUGAUACUAAUAGACGGUUCCGCGCCGCAUUAGCUAGUUGGUAAGGUAACGGCAUACCAAGGCUACGAUGCUGAGCCGACCUGAGAGGAUGAUCAGCCACACUGGAACUGAGACACGGUCCAGACUCCUACGGGAGGCAGCAGUAGGGAAUGUUCCACAAUGGGCGAAAGCCUGACACAGCAACACCGCGUGAGUGAAGAAGGUCUUCGGGUUGUAAAGCUCUUUUAUUAGGAAAGAAAAAAAGUGUAAGUAUAUAUGCACGUCUUGACGGUACCUAAACAGAAAGCUACGGCUAACUACGUG
rnacentral:rRNA from 1 species